UACGAAGGGGGCUAGGCGUUGCUCGGAAUCACUGGGCGUAAAGGGCGCGUAGGCGGCGUUUUAAGUCGGGGGUGAAGCCUGGUGGCUCAACCACAGAAUGGCCUCGAUACUGGGACGCUUGAGUAUGGUAGAGGUUGGUGGAACUGCGAGUGUAGAGGUGAAAUUCGUAGAUAUUCGCAAAGAACACCGGUGGCGAAGGCGGCCAAACUGG
rnacentral:rRNA from 1 species